UAAAUCAGCAGCAGCCUCCGAAUGAAUGUUGUGUGCUAAUUAUAAUUUAGCGAAGCCAGCUGAUCGAGCUAAUUAUUAACUCUCCGAGAGAUCGGAGAGAGAGAGAGAGAGAGAGAGAGAGAGAGAGAGAGAGAGCUCGGUCGACUAGUUCAGAUUAACUGAUCCAAUUUACUUAAUUAAGUAAUGGCGUCGAUGAAGGCCAAUAAACCUCAAGUCCAGUCUUCACAAGCGCAGGCAACAAAGGCGCCACCGCCCCAAGUUAAAGCUGCGGCAGCAAAGCCCACUCACAAGAAGGUGGUGCAGAAGCCACAGGAGACAAAGGUUUCAAGUGUUAAACCUGCAGCUCCACAUGCUAAAUGAGAUUCGUCUCGCCAGCACCGAAGUUGAUGACUUCUUACUAUAUAUAUAUAUAUGUGUGUGUGUACAUGGGCUGUUAUUACGUACUUAUAGAAUAACAAAGCCCUAGCUGUGUUAUUUGAAUGUGAUCAUAAAGUAAGAUUGUAAGAUUAUCGCGUAUGGCUUGAUGUGCCUUGUAAAAGCGUGCACGGUAUAACUAUGGAGUAAGACUACUAGUUUGUGAAAGUGACAUGUGUGUAUUCUCAAUGUAAUUUUUGGAUUUUUUAUAA